rnacentral:rRNA from 1 species
UACGUAGGGUGCAAGCGUUGUCCGGAAUUAUUGGGCGUAAAGAGCUCGUAGGCGGUUUGUUGCGUCGGCUGUGAAAUCCUGAGGCUCAACCUCGGGCGUGCGAUGGAUACUGCCGGGCUAGAGGGUGGUAGAGGCGAGUGGAAUUCCUGGUGUAGCGGUGAAAUGCGCAGAUAUCAGGAGGAACACCGGUGGCGAAGGCACUCUGCUGGGCCGACACUGACACUGAGAGACGAAAGCUAGGGGAGCGAAUGGG